rnacentral:lncRNA from 1 species
CGGAUGAACAUCCCAAACCACUUCUCCCAGCAUCCUCUUCCUUCGGAACAGAGUCCAGCCAUAUCUCUCUUAUCCACGGACAAGUAUAGGUAUUCUGAGACGUCACAUUUACAUUUGCCUUAAGGGUUGCUAUGUUUUAAAGUAUCUUCUAACUUAAAAACGAUGUUUGUGGGUAACAUCACUGCAAACCCUCACGAGACAACACUCGUCCACUAGGGUAACCUAGGGGUUUAACGGCUUGUUGCACGUGCUAAGUGCAAUCGUAAUGCUCUACGAAAGUGAGUAUUUAUUUUAAUUCAUGCAUAUUAAUAAACAAUACUUUUGCACUCUCAUUUUAUCAUUUUCACACUAAAUUGCUAGAGACCAGCAAUAAGCUAGUUGGGGGGUGUGAUGAGAGUN